AGCCUCAAUUCUGGUGGCCUGGAUUGGCUGGGAGUGGCAGGUGAGCGGCUCAGGCCGGCCGCGAGCGCCAAUCAGGACUGGCGCCGGCUGCAGGAACUAGCUCAGUGAGUCUGCAGGGUCCUGGUCGGACACUCGGCCCGGGAUUUGGCCACUGCACUUCCCCACCUCCACUCGGGCUCCUAACGCUCCCCCAGUUCCUUGUGGUCCGUCCUGCCUAUAUCAAAGCGCUGGCCAGGUGCGCUCCGUGCUAGGCUGGAGUCACUCCGCUGCCACCUGCUCGCCUCUGGGUGUGGUGGUAGGGAACAGCGCUUGCGGUUCCAACUCAAGCUUUAUAUGGCUCGGCUAGCCGCUGGAUCGUGUUUUUCUCACCUGUAAAGCGGAGACUUUACUACCUCUUGGUUGGUAGGCCGGUGGCCAGCUAAGACUUCGAAACAGCUGUAUCUUCUUGUGCAGUGCCAGCCUCAUCUCUGAGACAUGAUUGGAGUGAAUAGAUUUGGCCAUAUUGGGUGCCUGGUUACCAGGAGUGCCUUCACCUUUGACAACAUGGAGAUUGUUGCCAUCAAUGACUCCUUCAUGAACCUCAACUACAUGGUCUACAUGCCCAGUAAGACUCCACCCACCGGGCUGCAGAGAUGGUUCAGUAGUUAAAAGCACUGAUUGCUCUUUCCGAGGUCCUGAGUUCAAAUCCCAGCAUCCACAUGAUGGCUCACAACCAUUUGUAAUGGGAUCUGAUGCCCUCUUCUGGUGUGCAUGAAAACAGCAACAGUGUACCCACAUACAUGAAAUAAAUAAAUAAAUAAAUAAAUCUUUAAGACUCCAUCCAUAGAAAAUUCCACAGUACAAUAAAGGCUGAGAACAGGAAACUUGUCAUCAACAAGACAAUCUCCAUCCUCUGAGAGAGAAAUUUCCACCCCCAUCAAACGUUGAUGAAGAGUAUGUUGUGGAGUCUACUUAUAUCUUUACCACCAUGAGGAAGACUGAGGUCCACUUGAAGGGUGGAACCAAAAGUGUCACCAUCUCUGCCCCUUCUGCUAAUGCUCCCAUGUUUGUGUUGGGUUAUGUUGGGUGGGAGCCAUGAGAAGUAUGACAACUCACUUAAGACUGUCAGUAGCUUCCUGCACCACUGAUGGCUUAUGUCCCUGGCCAGUGCCAUCCAUGACAAUUUUGGCAUUGUAGAGGGAUUCAUGACCACAGUCCAUGACAUCACUGCUACCAGAAGACUUGUCAGUGGAAAGCUAUGACAUGGUGACUGUGGGGCUACACAUCCUCGCAGUCACUUGCCAAGGUUGUGGGCAAGGUCAUCCCAGAGCUGAACAGGAAGCUCAGUGGUAUUGCCUUCCUACACACAAUGUGUCCACCAUGGAUCUCACAUGCUGCUUGGAGAAAGUUUCCAAGUAUGAUGACAUCAAAAAGGUACUGCAGCAGGCAUCAGAGGGCCCACUAAAGGACUAGGUUGUCUCCUGUGACUUUACCCUUUACCCAGCUUUAAUGCUGGGCUGGCACUGGUCUCAAUGACAACUAUCGUUUUCUGAUAUGACAACGAAUAUGGCGAUAGCAACAUGGUGGUGAACCUCAUGGCCUACAUGAGUAAGAAAUAAGAAGCUUUGGACCACACAACCAGGAAGAACGUAAGAAGAAGAAAGGGUCUCUGAUGUUGGGGAGUCCCUGUCUCAGCUCAGCCCCCAACACUGAGCAUCUCCCCUCACAAUUUUCAUUCCAGAACCCCAGAAGAAGGGAACAGCUCAGAGAACCCUACUCUCUUGAAUACCACCAAUAAAGUUCACUGCACCCCUCCCCCCAAAAAAUUAUAAAUCAAAUGAAGAUCUUAAAAGGCUUUAUAAGCAGUACUGAAAAUCCUCCCCACAUUUUCCAAUGUCCUUAUGUCCUAGGCCUAGCUUACUUCAUUUCAUCCUUCGCAUAGCCUGUAAGCCGAACACAGAUGAGAUGAGUGUGCAACUGCUGGCUCAAACAACACUGACUGGGGUUUUAUUGUUCUGAGAUUAUAAUACAGUUACAACAUUUGUCUCUUCCCUUUCUUCCCUCCAAAUCCUUCCAUAUACCCCUCCUUGCUCUCUUUAAAUUCAAGUCUUUUUUCAUUGUUAUUGCAUGUGUGUGUGUGUGUGUGUGUGUGUGUGUGUGUGUGUGUGUGUGUGUAAACAUAUAUA